GUUUUCUGAUGAACCAUUAUUUCAGUUCUGCUUCCGAACGAGAGAGUCAACCUCUUGUGGACAACUUUAUACCAAAUUUUUUUUCUGACCU
rnacentral:snoRNA from 1 species